rnacentral:rRNA from 2 species
GAUUGGUGCUUGCAUCAUGAUUUACAUUUGAGUGAGUGGCGAACUGGUGAGUAACACGUGGGAAACCUGCCCAGAAGCGGGGGAUAACACCUGGAAACAGAUGCUAAUACCGCAUAACAACUUGGACCGCAUGGUCCGAGUUUGAAAGAUGGCUUCGGCUAUCACUUUUGGAUGGUCCCGCGGCGUAUUAGCUAGAUGGUGGGGUAACGGCUCACCAUGGCAAUGAUACGUAGCCGACCUGAGAGGGUAAUCGGCCACAUUGGGACUGAGACACGGCCCAAACUCCUACGGGAGGCAGCAGUAGGGAAUCUUCCACAAUGGACGAAAGUCUGAUGGAGCAACGCCGCGUGAGUGAAGAAGGGUUUCGGCUCGUAAAACUCUGUUGUUAAAGAAGAACAUAUCUGAGAGUAACUGUUCAGGUAUUGACGGUAUUUAACCAGAAAGCCACGGCUAACUACGUGCCAGCAGCCGCGGUAAUACGUAGGUGGCAAGCGUUGUCCGGAUUUAUUGGGCGUAAAGCGAGCGCAGGCGGUUUUUUAAGUCUGAUGUGAAAGCCUUCGGCUCAACCGAAGAAGUGCAUCGGAAACUGGGAAACUUGAGUGCAGAAGAGGACAGUGGAACUCCAUGUGUAGCGGUGAAAUGCGUAGAUAUAUGGAAGAACACCAGUGGCGAAGGCGGCUGUCUGGUCUGUAACUGACGCUGAGGCUCGAAAGUAUGGGUAGCAAACAGGAUUAGAUACCCUGGUAGUCCAUACCGUAAACGAUGAAUGCUAAGUGUUGGAGGGUUUCCGCCCUUCAGUGCUGCAGCUAACGCAUUAAGCAUUCCGCCUGGGGAGUACGGCCGCAAGGCUGAAACUCAAAGGAAUUGACGGGGGCCCGCACAAGCGGUGGAGCAUGUGGUUUAAUUCGAAGCUACGCGAAGAACCUUACCAGGUCUUGACAUACUAUGCAAAUCUAAGAGAUUAGACGUUCCCUUCGGGGACAUGGAUACAGGUGGUGCAUGGUUGUCGUCAGCUCGUGUCGUGAGAUGUUGGGUUAAGUCCCGCAACGAGCGCAACCCUUAUUAUCAGUUGCCAGCAUUAAGUUGGGCACUCUGGUGAGACUGCCGGUGACAAACCGGAGGAAGGUGGGGAUGACGUCAAAUCAUCAUGCCCCUUAUGACCUGGGCUACACACGUGCUACAAUGGAUGGUACAACGAGUUGCGAACUCGCGAGAGUAAGCUAAUCUCUUAAAGCCAUUCUCAGUUCGGAUUGUAGGCUGCAACUCGCCUACAUGAAGUCGGAAUCGCUAGUAAUCGCGGAUCAGCAUGCCGCGGUGAAUACGUUCCCGGGCCUUGUACACACCGCCCGUCACACCAUGAGAGUUUGUAACACCCAAAGUCGGUG